rnacentral:lncRNA from 1 species
CCACAUUUUACUCAACUCUCUCUUUCUUAUUAUCUUGCAACACAAAUGAGUUCAUACAUAUUUAGAUAUACAUUUACAAACAUCGAUUGAUAAUUAUUGUACAAUCAUAUUAAGAGCAUCCUGCUGGAUUCCGAAAGUUCUCAUCCCACGUCGUUGAGCUACUCCCACGCCCCUGAUUUGUUUGUUCUAGACCGUCCAAGUGUCUUAGCGUGUAGGACCUUCGCUCACGUGUGCGCAGGUGGGUCCGGCAUCUGUUGGCAACACUUUUUGGAGUCAACAGAUACAAAGGAUAUGCAUUCUUGACAUGUUUAUGUGCUUGUAAUUUUGGCAACCACAAUUCUUCAUAUGCAUUCUCUGUUAAUUUAGUGUGCAGGCAAAAGCAUGGCCAUGGAUACUAGCUUCUCUAAGCACCCUCAAGGAAAGAUCAAAAGAUAAGUCUGCAAAAGCCGUGACAGCAAGGUCUCCUCCAAUAAAAUCCACUCCAGUAAAUGUAUCAGAGUUUUCAUUAUUAGAGUUUCUUCUUUCUUGCCUUCUAGGCUCAGCAGGGCCUAGUCCCCUUGCCUUGAAACCUAAAAUUGAUGUGGGGCCCCUUAAGGUGCCAACUGGAGAAGCAAGUUCCCAAUUAAAAUCUUGUUAACCCACCUAAGAAGCAAAUUCCCAAUUUUUAACAGAAUAAACAUAACAGUUUCACGUCCAUUCUUUUUACAACCUUCCACUAAAUAUAGCAGUGAACCUAGCUAAUUGGUAGCGUGCCUAUCAUAAAAGUUUAAAAUCAUAAGGGGGAAAAUUUAACG